AUCUUCAGUCCAACAUACCUGCAAAAGCAAGCGAACAAAUUUGUCAUCGUUUCCUACAAUCACUCCUCAGAAACAAACAUGAACGACAAAUUUGACAGCAAAACUAAAACUCACCGGCCAAGCAUCAUUAGAGUCGCCUGUGGGUUAGUUCCCGGAGAUACGGCGAACGUCGACCCGUCGACCACGCGGAGAGCAUCGAUGCCCAUCACCUGGAAAUCGUGAUUGACCACCUUCCCCACGAGGCAGCCCCCGUGGUAAUGCCAUAUGGUGCUCACUGUGUGGCGGCAGAACUCCGCCAUCAACACAUUAUCAGCUUGAUCUAUCGGCAACACAGGCCCGACGAACCUGAAAUCUCCGCCCCCGAACCACUCCCUGAAUUUGAAAUCCUGCAUGGAUCGGCUCCUCAACACGUCCCCAAUCUUGCGCAUACCUUUCACGCAUCGCUGCACAUCCACGGGAUUGGUGAAGUAAUUAAACCGGACGAUUGGGUUGAUCCUGACGUCGGUGGAAGCCAGCCGGAGUGAACCGGUUGAGAGUGGCCCAGCGAUCUUCUCCAUGAGGGUGGCUACGGUGAGGUAAAUGGGAGAAGAUGGAUUCCGAAUGAAGACCGAGCGAUCAGGGGAUGCGAAUGGUAUCACGUUCGAGGCCGCUUCAAGGAAUUGGCCCACAUAGGGAAGAUGAUGCGCCACCGGAAUUCCCCACGACGACAGGUAACGCCGCGCCCCAAUGCCGCUGAGAAGCAGCAGCUGGGGGCUCCCGAUGGCGCCGGCGCUUAGUAUCACCUCGCCUCUUUUGCCCACCAUAGCGUGGUGGAACCGCCCCCUGGCGUCGCGGUAAACAACCCCAAUUGCCGAUUGUUUGAAACCUGACGCGCCUGAAGACGGAGCGAUCAGUACUCUCUCAACGGUUGCAUGGGCAGCAACUCUAAUAUUCGUCGGCUUUGCGUAGUCGAGAAGAUCCGCAGAACUGUGUCUCCUCCCUGAGCUAUCAAAAGUGGAAGCCCCAAUUUUGGUGCCCACAACGUGUUCGGUGGUGAACCCAUUGUAGGGGUCGAUGCCGGCCUCUAGGAGACCGUCUCGGACGGCGGAUUGCCAAUUCUUGAGCUGCGGCCGGAACACGACGGCCCUCUCCACCCACUCGUAGGACUCGUUCACAGCGUGGAGGUUCCAAUUAACGCCGGACUUCUUGAAGAAAUCUGAGUCGGCGCGGCUGUAGAAGCCGGCGUUGAUGGCGCUGCUGCCGCCGAGGACGCGGCCGCGGGCGUUGGGGACUCCGUCUUCGGAGGUGAAGGCUUGGGCGGGGGAAUGGUAGGCGUCGACGUUGGUGAGUGUGUUCAAGAAACCUUCUUGGGUCAUGAGGUUGGGGUUGCCGUAAGGGACGCCGCCUCGUUCAAGAACAAGAACCCGAAAUUUUGCAGAGAGCGUGGCGGCCAAGGGGCAACCGGCGGUUCCUCCUCCGACUAUGAUGUAGUCGUAAUAGUCUUCUGAUGGGAACUCUGUGGCGUUAAACACAAACUUCAAGUAACUUGCUCCUGCAAUGAAAUUAAUCAAGAUAUUUGUUAAAGAAAAGAAGAAGAAGAAGAAGAAGAAGAAGAAGAAGAUGGUGAUGAUGAUGAUGAGGUUUCAAUGGGGAAUUAAUUAAUAGCUUACGUACGUUGUCGAGGCUGCGCUGUGGCAUAAGAAAUGAGGGUCAAGAACAUGAAAGGAAACACAACGCGGGGAUGAAACAGAGAAAUGUGUAUUGCCAUUGUUGAGACGUUCUUGAGAAAGAUGCUAAUUAAGGUUUAUUGGGAUAUUUUGAAGGACAAUUUUUCCUUGCAGAGAGUCCAGGUUGAGGAGACGGGAGCUUAUGGAUGUUCGUCGGGAAUGGCAUUGUUCGGAGAAACUGAGUGAGAGAGAGAGAGAGAGAGAGAGAGAGAGAAGCAGAAGCGUCAGAGAGGAGGUUGCAGAGUCAGUUGGAUAUCGUUGAUCAACAUCGCGCUACGCAGCAAACAUAAUAUGGUUGAUCGGCAUCGCCGUACAACGAACAAAUUAACCCGUAUUUUAUUUGAAUUUUAUAAUUAAUAUUGGAUCCACUGUGAUGCACGUAAAAAUGAACCCUGGUCGACCAAAUGUAAUGAAGCGACAAUUCACUCACUCAACUUAGCAGACUGUUUAAUUAGCAUUAAAAAAAAAGGAUCCUUCUCUUUUUAUCAU